CGUCUGAAAGGACACGGACAGAACCAGGUCAGGAACCUCGGAGGACGGCGCCCUUGCCAUCGCACCCCGCGGCUUUGCAGUGCCACGGACACGCAAAGCCGCUGAACACGUGAGCCAGUUCCAUAUACAAGCAGUUCCAGUGCUCCGGGCAUGCUCCCAGGAGGGAGGUCACAGGAAUGAGGGAGGGAAAGUGGAGCUGCCAGUUCGGUGGCUCCCUUGCCUUUGUACAUGUGUUCCAACAGGCUGGAGGUAACAAGGCCCCAAGCCCACCAGGACUCCCAAGUGCAGAGAAACCUAAAUUCAUUUAAACAGAGCUGUAAAGCACACAGGUGUGGCUCUCCUUCUUCUUUCCAAGGGGACCUGGUACACAAAGCCUCCCUGGAGGCUCACGGCAGAGCAGGGCAGGCUCUGCUGAGCCCUGUCGUUAGCCUUGCUCACCUCUCCAGCCCUGGCAGUGCAGGCUGUGCGUCAGCUCAGCUAAGGCUCUGCUCCCUCUCUCAGGAGACAGCCGGUCCCCCGGGGGGCAGACAUUCACAGGGCAGGGAACAUUUCCUGGGCCAGUUUCAGCCUGGUGCUCCCGGCUCUGCCUUCAGAGGCUCCCUGGCGUCAGAGCUGCGUUCAGAACGGCUGUCCCGGCAGGACGGGUACAGCAGGAACGGGGCUUUCCUGCUCCAAACAGGGCAGGGAGACAAACCACCUCCAGGGAAAGGGAUUGCUGCGCUUGCAGUCAGCUGGAUGGGAAAAUACUGGCUCGGCUUGUAUUGCAAAGGAAUAGGAUAAGAUAGAAUACGGUAGAAUAGGAUAGGAUAGAAUACAAUACAAUAAGGUAGAAUAGAAUAGAAUAAAAUGGAAUGGAAUAGAAUUGAAUAGAACAGGAUAGAAUAGAAUGCAAAUGAAUGCAAUACAACAGGAUAGGUUAGACUGAAUAGAAUAAGAUAGGAUAGAAUAGAAUGAAAUAGAAUAGAAUAAGUUAGAAUAGCAUGGAAUGGAAUAGAAUAGAAAUAGAAUACAAUAGGACAGGAUAGGUUAGACUGAACAGAAUAAGGUAGGAUAGGAUAUACUAGAAUGAAAUAGAAUAGAAUAAGUUAGAAUAGCAUAUGAUAGAAUAGAAUAGGAUAGAAUGCAAAUGAAUGCAAUAGAACAGGAUAGGUUAGAAUGAAUAGAAUAAGGUAGGAUAGGAUAUAAUAGAAUGAAAUAGAAUAGAAUAAGUUAGAAUAGAAUAUGAUAGAAUAGAAUAGAAUGGAAUAGAAUAGAAUGGAAUAGA